rnacentral:ncRNA from 2 species
UGGGCUGAACGCAAGCUCCGGGUCCAUCGAGGGCGGGGAAGUUCCCC